GGGGAUGUAGCUCAAAUGGUAGAGCGCUCGCUUAGCGUGUGAGAGGUACGGGGAUCGAUGCUCCGCAUCUCCA
rnacentral:tRNA from 1 species